AGCUUUGUGCAGUGGCAGUAUUGUAGCCAAUGAGGCUUAUCCAAGGCAUGAUUACUGCUAAUAUAUGAAUUCAGUACUUGACUCAAUUUAGAAAAAGUAAUAAAGCA
ensembl:snRNA U4 U4 spliceosomal RNA